AAGUCGUAACAAGGUUUCCGUAGGUGAACCUGCGGAAGGAUCAUUAAUGAAGCACAUUUAUUUUGCGGAGUUUCUCUGCAAUCUAAAUCCACCCCAUAUUGUGAAUUUAAACCUCAACCAAUUUUUCCCCUUCGCAAGAGGGGGAAAGAACAAUAAACAAAUUUUAUAUUUUAAUCCAAAAAACACAAAUAAUAAAAAAACAAAACUUUCAACAACGGAUCUCUUGGCUU
rnacentral:misc_RNA from 1 species